rnacentral:rRNA from 1 species
GACGUAGGGCGCGAGCGUUGUCCGGAUUAUUGGGCGUAAAGAGCUCGUAGGCGGCUUGUUGCGUCGGCUGUGAAAUCCCGUGGCUUAACUGCGGGCUUGCAGCUGAUACGGGCGGGCUGGAGUUCGGUAGGGGAGACUGGAAUUCCUGGUGUAGCGGUGGAAAUGCGCAGAUAUCAGGAGGAACACCAGUGGGCGAAGGCA